AACGAACGCUGGCGGCAUGCCUAACACAUGCAAGUCGAACGAGCCCUUCGGGUCUAGUGGCGCACGGGUGCGUAACGCGUGGGAACCUGCCCUUAGGUUCGGCAUAACUCUCCGAAUGGGGUGCUAAUACCGGAUAAUGUCUUCGGACCAAAGAUUUAUCGCCUUUGGAUGUGCCCGCGUUGGAUUAGCUAGUUGGUAGGGUAAAAGCCUACCAAGGCGACGAUCCAUAGCUGGUCUGAGAGGCUGAUCAGCCACACUGGGACUGAGACACGGCCCAGACUCCUACGGGAGGGAGCAGAGGGGAAUAGUGGACAAUGGGCUAAGGCCUGAUCCAGCAAGGCCGGGUGAGUGAUGAAGGCCUGAGGGUUGUAAAGCGCUUUUACCCGGGAUGAUAAUGACAGUACCGGGAGAAUAAGCUCCGGCUAACUCCGUG
rnacentral:rRNA from 1 species